AUUGAACGCUGGCGGCAGGCCUAACACAUGCAAGUCGAACGAGUGGCGGACGGGUGAGUAAUGUCUGGGAAACUGCCUGAUGGAGGGGGAUAAAUACUGGAAACGGUAGCUAAUACCGCAUACCAUAAGAUGUGCCCAGAUGGGAGUAGCUUGUUGGUGGGGUAACGGCUCACAAAGGCGACGAUCCCUAGCUGGUCUGAGAGGAUGACCAGCCACACUGGAACUGGGAAACGGUCAGACUACUACGUGAGGCAGCAGUGGGGAAUAUUGCUCAAUGGGCGAAAGCGUGAUGCAGCCAUGCCGCGUGUAUGAAGAAGGCCUUCGGGUUGUAAAGUACUUUCAGCGGAGAGGCGUUACCCGCAGAAGAAGCACCGGCUAACUCCGUGCCAGCAGCCGCGGUAUUC
rnacentral:rRNA from 1 species